CAUGGUCACCGGCGUAUUUCUUGUAGGCUUUUAGGACUCUGGACUUCACUUCUCACAGGUGCCUGCGGCCCUGACUGUUCCAUCUUGGACUACAUAUUCCACGGGCGACGGAGAAAUCUUGGACCUCUGGCUCCAUCUCCCGGACCUCUGGCUCUGUCUUCCCGACCUCUGCGCUGCCCCUGACCUGGUCCCACCUGAGGAAGAAGGCGGUGCGGGUCUCUGCGGGCGCUUCUGCCGUCCCAGCCCGCAAUCUACGUGGGACCCUGCGUGGCGGAAUUCCUAAUGUUCAGGGAUGUGGCCCUAGACUUCUCCCAUCAGGAGUGGGAAUACCUUGACCUGUUUCAGAAGACCUUGUACCAGGAGGUGAUGGUGAAGAACUAUGCUGUGAGGAAUUUUAGACAAUUCAGAGGCCGGUAGAGUUGGUCGAAUCAGUUGGGAGAGAGACUGGAAUAAUA